rnacentral:rRNA from 1 species
GACGAACCGUGCGAACGUUGUUCGGAAUCACUGGGCUUAAAGGGCGCGUAGGCGGCCCGCGAGGUCGGGGGUGAAAUCCCACGGCUCAACCGUGGAAGGGCCUCCGAUACCGGCGGGCUGGAGGAAGGUAGGGGUGCGCGGAACUUCUGGUGGAGCGGUGAAAUGCGUUGAUAUCAGAAGGAACGCCGGCGGCGAAAGCGGCGCACUGGACCUUUUCUGACGCUGAGGCGCGAAAGCCAGGGGAGCAAACGGG